ensembl:lncRNA
GUAUGUAUACUAGUGGUAUUAAAGGUGUAGUAGGUAAGAGCUGUUAGGUGUUAUUAAAGGUGUAGUAUGUAUACUAGUGGUAUUAAAGGUGCAGUCUGUAUACUAGUGGUAUUAAAGGUGUAGUAGGUAAGAGCUGUUAUAUGUAGAGGUGGUAUUAAAGGUGUAGUAUGUAUACUAGUGGUAUUAAAGGUGUAGUAGGUAAGAGCUGUUAUAUGUAGAGGUGUUAAAGGCAGGGCUCCAGAGUGCGCCUAAUUUGGGCGCCCUUAUGUCCAUGCACAUUCCCAUGGACCACGGCGCACUUAUCGUACAGGCGUCUCUCUGAGACAGAGGGUUUUUCGGGACAGAACCGAUCCCUUGGCAUUGUCUGACGAUAUUCUUUAUGAGAGAUACAGAUUU